CUUAUUGGGCUCCUGUCUGCAGGAUUUACGCGCACGUUGGAACCGAAGAGAGCUCUGUUGUUGCAAUGUUCAGCCCACAAGACCUUACUGGUGAAGGAAUGGGACAAGACCCAUCUUUAUGCAAAGCCAGCGUUACAGUAAUGUCCCAGCAUCUCAUAAUCUAUCCUGGGGAAUUCAGCUGCCUCCCAGGGUGAAUACAGGUAUUCCUGAUGACAGUCUGCCUUCUAUCUUACAGUACUACUAACCAAUAACCUGCUUGGCUCAAAGGGCCAGCACCUUCUCUCUAAAGCCCAAGAGGAGUUUGAGGUAAAUGGCUUUGCAAUAGUUACCAUCAAUGGCUGCUAUAUAAAAUUUUCUGUGAUUUUUGUGUGUGAUAGCACUGUGGUCUGGGUGAAUGUACACAGACAUAACUGGCUUAAUCCAAAGUCUUUGAUCUCCUGAACCACCAGUGAUGAAUUGCUGCUCACCAGUGAUGAGUUGAAUACCGCCCCAGUCUGAUCAAUGUGUGACUGAAAGGUAUUUUCUGAGCUGUGAGCCUGCCUUCCAGUGACAUGUUCUAAAAAUUGCAAGUUAUUUGAGGAGGCUUUACAGCCAAUAGGAAGUUCUUGGGCUAAGUAGUGUUUCCUAUAAAAUGUGCCCUGAAACUUCUUUCUGCCAAGCAAUAGAUAUAAUUGAGAGAUUGUAAAAUGUGACGUAGAAUGAAAGUCUCUCAAGACUACAUUUUUCUUUCUUGAUUUUGCAGGAAAACUAGGUGUCUGUGUUCACUCCAGGCUGAAGUUACAGGU
rnacentral:sRNA from 1 species